AAUCAACGCUGGCGGCGUGCCUCAGACAUGCAAGUCGAACGCGAAAGUCCCCUUCGGGGGACAAGUAGAGUGGCGCACGGGUGAGUAACACGUAGGUAAUCUACCUUCGGAUGGGGAAUAACAAUCGGAAACGGUUGCUAAUACCGCAUAAUGCAGCGGCACCUAUGGUGACAGUUGUUAAAGCGGGGGAUCGAAAGACCUCGCGUCUGAAGAGGAGCCUGCGGCGGAUUAGCUAGUUGGUAAGGUAACGGCUUACCAAGGCGACGAUCCGUAGCCGG
rnacentral:rRNA from 1 species